rnacentral:rRNA from 1 species
CCUACGGGGGGCGGCAAUCAGGAAUCUUGCACAAUGUCCGAAAGGAUGAUGCAGCGACGCCGCGUGGAGGAUGAAUGCCUUCGGGUUGUAAACUCCUGUUAAGAAGUCACGGCAAACUACGCGCCAGCAGCAGCGGUCAAACGUAGGUGACAAGCGUUGCCCGGUAUUAUUGGGCGUAAAGAGUGCGUAGGCGCCUUGUUGAGUUCCUAGUGAAAUCCCUCCGCUCAACGGAGGAAUGGCUGGGAAUACUGGUAAGGUAGAGGUAAGCAGAGGAAAGCGGAAUUUCGGGAGGAGGGGUGAAAUCCGAUGAUCUUCGAGAGAACACCAAAGGCGAAGGCAGCUUUCUGGGCUUUACCUGACGCUGAGGCACGAAAGCGUGGGUAGCGAAAGGGAUUAGAUACCCCUGUAGUCCACGCCCUAAACGAUGCUCGCUAAACAUUGGACUCCCGAUUUAUCGGGAUUCAGUGUUGCAGCUAACGCGUUAAGCGAGCCGCCUGGGAAUUACGGUCGCAAGACUGAAACUCAAAGGAAUUGACGG